ACGCUCGACACCUACUGGAGGCAGCAGUGGGGAAUAUUGCACAAUGGGGGAAACCCUGAUGCAGCGACGCCGCGUGGAGGAAGAAGGUCUUCGGAUUGUAAACUCCUGUUGUUGGGGAAAAAGGGGAUGGUACCCAACAAGGAAGUGACGGCUAACUACGUGCCAGCAGCCGCGGUAAUCUGAGCGGGCUGGCAAGGC
rnacentral:rRNA from 1 species